CAGUGGUUAUCCUGUUUAGUAAGAGAGGAAACUCAGGUUCAGACAUAGGGUGUCUGUGCUUGCCUGAGGCGCCAGUGGUGCAAAGCUGGCAUCUGUGGGGUUACAACUGAACCCCUCCAAGUCAGAAAGGUGACUGACAGG
rnacentral:ncRNA from 1 species